rnacentral:rRNA from 1 species
AUACGGAGGGUGCAAGCGUUGUUCGGAAUUACUGGGCGUAAAGCGCGUGUAGGCGGCUUGGUAAGUCGGAUGUGAAAGCCCGGAGCUCAACUCCGGAACGGCAUCCGAAACUGCCUCGCUAGAGUCCCGGAGAGGAAGGCAGAAUUCCCAGUGUAGGGGUGAAAUCCGUAGAUAUUGGGAGGAAUACCAGUGGCGAAGGCGGCCUUCUGGACGGUGACUGACGCUGAGACGCGAAAGCGUGGGGAGCAAACAGGAUUAGAAACCCCGGUAGUCC